CCAGAAGCCGGAGAAAGGGCAGGGAGACUGGCGUGGACCAAUCAGAGCUGGGGGCGGGGCCUGUGCGGGAAAGUGGGCGUGACCUAGAGGGGAAAUCACCGGGAACGUACCGGAGGUCCUUGCUCCGGGAAACGCCCUCUGCAGCGAAGGAGAGACCACGCCGCCAUGCCUGCCGCCGGGCCCCGCGCAGCCCUCCUCCUCCUGCCCGCGCUGCUGUUGCUGCUGCGUGAUGUGCUGGCUGUGCCCCUGGAGCGGGGGGCGCCCAAGAAGGAGGAGAGCCCCGCCACUGAGAGCCCCGUGAGUGGCCCCGCCCUGCUCGCCAAACAGGACACUGGCCUGUACUACCACCGCUACCUCCAAGAAGUCAUCAACGUGCUGGAGACCGACGGGCACUUCCGGGAGAAGCUGCAGGCCGCCAACGCUGAGGACAUCAAGAGCGGGAAGCUGAGCCGGGAGCUGGACUUCGUCAGCCACCACGUCCGCACCAAGCUGGACGAGCUCAAGCGGCAGGAGGUGUCGCGGCUGCGGAUGCUGCUUAAGGCCAAGAUGGACGCGGAGCAGGAGCCCAAUGUGCAGGUGGACCACCUGAACCUCCUGAAGCAGUUCGAACAUCUGGACCCUCAGAAUCAGCACACAUUUGAGGCCCGAGACCUGGAGCUACUGAUUCAGACGGCCACCCGCGACCUGGCCCAGUAUGACGCAGCCCAUCACGAGGAAUUCAAACGCUACGAGAUGCUCAAGGAACACAAGAGACGCCGCUAUCUGGAGUCACUGGGGGAAGAGCAGCGGAAGGAGGCAGAAAGGAAGCUGGAAGAGCAACAGCGCCGCCACCGAGAGCACCCCAAAGUCAACGUGCCUGGCAGCCAAGCCCAGUUGAAGGAGGUGUGGGAGGAGCUGGAUGGACUGGACCCCAACAGGUUUAACCCCAAGACCUUCUUCAUCCUGCAUGAUAUCAACAGUGAUGGUGUCCUCGACGAGCAGGAGCUGGAGGCCCUCUUCACCAAGGAGCUGGAGAAGGUGUAUGACCCCAAGAACGAGGAGGAUGACAUGCGGGAGAUGGAAGAGGAGCGGCUGCGCAUGCGGGAGCACGUGAUGAAGAAUGUGGACACCAACCAGGACCGCCUCGUGACCCUGGAGGAAUUCCUCACCUCCACCCAGAGGAAGGAGUUUGGGGACAACGGAGAAGGCUGGGAGACGGUGGAGAUGCACCCUGCCUACACGGAGGAGGAGCUGAGGCGAUUCGAGGAGGAGCUGGCCGCUCGGGAGGCUGAGCUGAAUGCCAGGGCCCAGCACCUCAGCCAGGAGACCGAGGCCCUGGGGCGGUCCCAGGACCGCCUGGAGGCCCAGAAGAGAGAGCUGCAGCAGGCCGUCCUGCACAUGGAGCAGAGGAAGCAGCAGCAGCAGCAGGAGGAGGCCCAGCAGGCCCAGGCCCAGGCCCAUGGCCCUGAGGGGCAGCUCAAGUUCCACCCGGACACAGAUGAUAUGCCUGUCCCAGCUCCAGCUAAUGACCAGAAGGAUGUGGACACUUCAGAAAAGAAGGUUCCAGAACAGCACCCUGAGCUGCCCCAGCUGGAUACCCAGCACCUCUGAUCCUUUGGGGGGGUCCCAGCCGUCCAGUUUCCUACCAAGGCAGCCCAUAGGCAGGGGCUUGAGGUCUCACGCACCUCCAGCACACGCACCCGUCACCUGCCAAGCACCUCUCCUCUGUUAGGGUCCAGUUCACGCGCCACUUCUGAGAAGCUCAGUCCUGGAAUCUUUCCAUCUGCUCCCGAGGAAUCUGCUGCCCACACACAAGUGCACACGUGCCAAUCCUCAGCUGGGCACAUCUGGGUCAAGUGGGAUCCUCUAGCCGCAAGGACAGAAAAUGAGAACUUGGGCUAAAACAACAAAGAAAAAUGUAAUGUCGUCCAGAACAAGAAGUCCCCUGGUAGGGUGGUUCCAACGCUUUCAGGGAGCUCAGUCCUCCCAGCUGCUGGCUCUGCUGUUGAUGUCAGGGCCGUGCUCCCCUCUGGUCCCAAGGUGACUGCAGCUGCUCCAGAUGUCACAUGUGUCUUCGCUAACAGCCAGCCCAGGAAGAAGCCCCAGCCUCCCCUGGGUGUUGGCGUAAGUGAAAGAAAACCCGUCCCCAGCUCCCACCCCCACAGGUCUCCUCUCAUCUCCCAUACACCGGGAUCCACUGAGGUGGCCUCUGCCAGUGGGGGUCACACUGGAGCUGGGACGGGGUCAAUUUCCCUGGACCAAACCAGGGUCUGGUAGAAAGGACAAGAUUCUGGAGUUAUUUGUUUAACUGAAAUGCUGUUUAAAUAAGAAGUCUAGCAUAAUCACUAGAGAUUUUAGUUUGCCUCCACACCUGUGGGACAGCAAGUCCAUGUCGAUAACCUUUUGGCUUAAUAAAGAAAGCAGACAGCUCCUGAUAA